rnacentral:lncRNA from 1 species
UUCAGACUGGAUAAAAGGGUCCUGAUUGCUCCUCUACUCCCCUUCCACUUGAAGACUCUGACCAGAAAUCUGGGCCUCAAUCUGAUGUCAUUGUGCAGGAUCCAACCACAGUGAUGGCCUCAGUUGGUUCAGAGAAGAGAAGACAACACCCUGGAGAACACUGAAGGAUGAUGUGGGAGGACCAGGAUCGAGGCUUUAAAAUGAAUAAAUGUAAGCACGUCUAAUUAUUUCUUUCA